GAUGAACGCUGGCGGCGUGCCUAAUACAUGCAAGUCGAGCGAACAGACGAGGAGUUUGCUCCUCUGACGUUAGCGGCGGACGGGUGAGUAACACGUGGAUAACCUACCUAUAAGACUGGGAUAACUUCGGGAAACCGGAGCUAAUACCGGAUAAGAUAUUGAACCGCAUGGUUCAAUAGUGAAAGACGGUUUUGCUGUCACUUAUAGAUGGAUCCGCGCCGCAUUAGCUAGUUGGUAAGGUAACGGCUUACCAAGGCAACGAUGCGUAGCCGACCUGAGAGGGUGAUCGCCCACACUGGAACUGAGCCACGGUCCAGACUCCUACGGGAGGCAGCAGUAGGGAAUCUUCCGCAAUGGGCGAAAGCCUGCCGGAGCAACGCCGCGUGAGUGAUGAAGGUCUUCGGAUCGUAAAACUCUGUUAUUAGGGAAGAACAAAUGUGUAAGUAACUAUGCACGUCUUGACGGUACCUAAUCAGAAAGCCACGGCUAACUACGUG
rnacentral:rRNA from 1 species